rnacentral:rRNA from 1 species
AAAUUAAAGCAAGUGGCGGAUGCCUUGGUAUAAGGAGCCGAGGAAGGACGCAUUUGGCGGCGAUACUCGUCGGGUAGGGGCCAAAACCCGUUUAUCCGGCGGUUUCCGAAUGAGGAAACUCACUCCGAUGAAAAUCGGGGUACCUUGUGCGUAGCACAAAGGAUUGUAGGGAAAAGGAUUAUAGUGAUUAGCUCAUUUUUGACUAUUUACUAUACCUUAAAAUCCUAAAAUUCUGUGCGCUGCGCGCGAGGAGGUAAGCAGCUGAACCGAAACAUCCAAGUAAGCUGAGGAAAAGAAAAUUAUAAUGAUUCCCCCAGUAGCGGCGAGCGAAAAGGGAAAAGCCUAAACCUGCCGAUUUGGCAGGGGUUGAGGGAAGCGUCAAGGGAUUAAACAAGGGAAGGAGAACACCUUGGAAUAGGUGACCAAAGGAAGUGAAAGUCUUGUAACCGAAUCCAGAGUUUACCUAAGACCGAUUUUCCCAAGUAAUUCGGGACACGUGUAACCCCGAGUGAAUCAGGGGCGACCAACGCUCUAAGGCUAAAUACUCCUUAUGACCGAUAGUGAACUAGUACCGUGAGGGAAAGGUGAAAAGAAGGGUGAGACACCCAGUGAAAGAGAAACUGAAACCAUUUGCUAACAAGCAGGCGGAGUCCGGCUUUGCCGGAUGACGCCGUGCCUAUUGAAGAAUGAUCCGGCGAGUAGUCGCACUUUUCAAGUCUAAUCCGCCAGAAGCGGGGGAGGCGCAGGGAAACCGAGUCUGAAUAGGGCGUUUAGAAAAGUGUGUCAUACCCGAAACGGGGCGAGCUAAUCAUGGGCAGGGUGAAUCCGGCGUACAUGCCGGCGGAGGCCCGAACUCUUUGUUGUUACAAUAACAUGAGACGACCUGUGAUUAGGGGUAAUAUGCCUAACGAGCCCUGAGAUAGCUGGUUCUCCCCGAAAUAUAUAUAGGUAUAACCCUUCGUUAUUGAUUUUGCGGGGUAGAGCACUCAAUGGGUUAGGUGGCGCAAGCCAUCGAAUUCAAUGAAACUCCGAAUACGCAAAAUUUUACCGAGGGAGUCAGACUGAUCGGUCUAAGCUGACCAGUCGAGAGGGAAACAGCCCAGACUGGCAACUAAGGUCUCUAAGUUUUGGCUAAGUUAAAGGAAGUUAGGGUUCUCUGACACCCAGGAGGUUGGCUCAGAAGCAGCCAUCCUUUAAAGAAAGCGUAACAGCUCACUGGAUGAAAUCUCCGCCUUUGGCGGAGUGGAUCCUAGCGCCGAAGAUGAUUGAGGAUUAAGCCAAACACCGAAGUUCCAGAUCUUGUGCGUAGCACAAAGGAUUGUAGGGAAAAGGAUUAUAGUGAUUACUCAUUUUUGACGAUUCAAUAUACCUUAAAAUCCUAAAAUCCUGCGUGUUGCGCACUGGGUGGUAGGGGAGCGUUCCGUGAGCAGUGAAGGUAAGGUGUAAGCCGAGCUGGAGUUUACGGAAGUGAGAAUGCCGGAACGAGUAACUAAAUGCCAGUAAGAAUCUGGCACGCCGUAUGUCCAAGGUUUCCCCGACAACAUUCGUUGGUUGGGGGUCAGUCGGGUACUAAGGCGAGUCCCCGCUUAGCGGGGGGUAGCCGAUGAACAACAGGUUGAUAUUCCUGUACUUGGGAAAGUGCGUUUUAGUCCAGGGAGGGACGAAAUGAGAAGAACCAAGCGUUCUGUUGAAGAUAGAAUCGCGUAAAUUAUAAAGCAGUUUUAAGCGGAAAAUCCCUUAAGGCGUUUAACUGAGUAAUGAUGCGGAGUUCCGAUGCAAAUCGGGGCAAUUUGGUGACUUUUUGUUUCUAAAAAAAUCUUCGUGGACAAGUACUUUUUUAACCCGUACCAAAACCGAAACUGGUGGACUGGAUGAGUAAUCUAAGGCGAUCGGGAGAAGGAAGCUUAAGGAAUUCGGCAAAAAAUCUGGACGUAACUUAGGGAGAUGUCCUACCCUCCGAUUAGGAGGGUUACAACAAAAGAUUGCUUGGCGACUGUUUAACUAAAACACAGGUCUCUGCAAACCCGAAAGGGAAAGUAUAGGGGCUGAAGCCUGCCCGGUGCGCGAAGGUUAAAGUCCGGGGUGAACCCGCAAGGGGAAGCUCUGGUCCUAAGCCCGCGUGAACGGCAGCGAUAACUAUAAUCGUUCUAAGGUAGCGAAACCCCUCGUCAGGUAAGUUCUGACCCGCAUGAAAGGCUUAACGACUUAGCAACUGUCUCGAGCUUUCGCCCGGUGAAACUGAAAUGGCUGUGAAGAUGCGGCCUAGGUGUUCUUGGACAAAAAGACCCCGUGGAGCUUUACUGCAGCUUGGCAUUGAAAGGAAGAUGUUAAUUGUUUAGCAUAGGUGGGAGUUCACCGCAAGGUGGGCGACAGUGAAAUACCACUCGUUGAUAUUUUCUGAUCUUACUUUAUCCGACUGGAAACGUCGGAGAGGAAAGUGCCCGGUGGGCAGUUUGACUGGGGCAGUCGCUUGCUAAAGAGUAACGCGAGCGUACAAAGGUCAGCUAAACUCGGAUGGAAAUCGAGUGUUUUGUAUAAAGGCAGAAGCUGGCUUGACUGCGAGACCGACAGGUUGAGCAGGUGCGAAAGCAGGUCUUAGUGAUCCCCCGAAGCGUAGUGGUACGCUCGGGGCUUAUCGGAUAAAAGCUACCCCGGGGAUAACAGCGUAAUCGCGCCCGAUAGUCCACAUAUACGGCGCGGUUUGCGACCUCGAUGUCGGCUCACCCUAUCCUGGCGCUGAAGCAGGUGCCAAGGGUUGGACUGUUCGCCCAUUAAAAGGGUACGCGAGCUGGGUUCAGAACGUCGUAAGACAGUUCGGACUCUAUCCAGAACACCCGUUGAAUUCUUGAGGGGAGUCUCCUACAGUACGAGAGGACCUGGGAGAGGGAACCGCUGGUGUGCCAGUUGUCGCUGUCAAGCGCAAUGCUGGGUAGCUAUGUUCUUUUAGGAUAACCGCUGAAAGCAUCUCAAGCGGGAAGCCGUCCCCAAGAUUAGGAAUUCUUUCCGGCGCAAGCCGGAUGAAGAUCCCUUGUAGAUCACGAGGUAUAUAGGCGGCCGGUGGAAGUACCGUAAGGUAUUAAGCUUAGCCGUACUAAUUGAUCAA